UUCAUAAUUCAGUGGCAGUAUCAUAGCCAAUGAGGUUUAUCCGAGGCGCGAUUAUUGCUAAUUGAAAACUUUUCCCAUAAUUCCAAAACUCUGAAGCAACCAAGAUGUCCUUUGGUAGGGGAAUGGAUAAAUAAACUGGUU